rnacentral:rRNA from 1 species
AUUGAACGCUGGCGGCAGGCCUAACACAUGCAAGUCGAGCGGAUGAAGGGAGCUUGCUCCUGGAUUCAGCGGCGGACGGGUGAGUAAUGCCUAGGAAUCUGCCUGGUAGUGGGGGAUAACGUCCGGAAACGGGCGCUAAUACCGCAUACGUCCUGAGGCAGAAAGUGGGGGAUCUUCGGACCUCACGCUCUCAGAUGCGCCUAGGUCGGAUUAGCUAGUUGGUGGGGUAAAGGCCUACCAAGGCGACGAUCCGUAACUGGUCUGAGAGGAUGAUCAGUCACACUGGAACUGAGACACGGUCCAGACUCCUACGGGAGGCAGCAGUGGGGAAUAUUGGACAAUGGGCGAAAGCCUGAUCCAGCCAUGCCGCGUGUGUGAAGAAGGUCUUCGGAUUGUAAAGCACUUUAAGUUGGGAGGAAGGGCAGUAAGUUAAUACCUUGCUGUUUUGACGUUACCAACAGAAUAAGCACCGGCUAACUUCGUG